rnacentral:lncRNA from 1 species
UCCGGACGAAGUCUUCCUGCAAUUAAAGUCAGGGGCGAAGUCCGGCUCCCGUAGGAGUCCGGACGAAGCUUACCAGCAGUUGAAGUCGCGGACGAAGUCCAGCUCCCGUAGGAGUCCGGACGAAGUCCACCUGCAGUAGAAGUCGGGGACGAAGUCCGGCUCCCGUAGGAGCUCGGGUGGUGCAAUGGGAGUUCGUCCGUCGGAGGAGUACUGUGGAAAUCCGGCUGUUGGAGAAGUCCGGGGAGAUACCAUCUGCAAUCGAAGGUCGGAGGAGUCCUGCGAGGGUCAAUCCUGUUAAGAACUUCGGCUGAGGGUAUUUUAUACCCAACAAUAUCUAUAUUCUUUUUUCUUUGAUAGAUAUAGAUAUUAGUCGGAUGCUCAAAUUUCUCAUUAUAUCUUGAAAGAUUCGAAUAUGAAAAUGAAUUUGGAUGGAC